CUUCAGUGAAGAAACGAUGACGAGUCAGAGCAGAGCCCAAGUCCAGUCCCGUGGAUUCUGGUUCAGGCCCACGUUCUGUGGUUCUGCUCCAGUUCCUCGGACCGGCGGGUUCUUUCUCUUGAUGACACCGAGGCAUUUGUCUGAGAAGG